ACUAUAAUAGUUUAAUAAAAACAAAGGUCUUGUAAACCUUAAAUGAUCUUUUCUAAUAGUA
rnacentral:tRNA from 1 species